CAGCGCCCGCGUUUCCGCCCGCUCGAUCCCUCACGUGGCGGCCGAGCGAGGGCCUCGGGGUGACGC
rnacentral:pre_miRNA from 1 species